rnacentral:rRNA from 1 species
GAUGAACGCUGGCGGCGUGCCUAAUACAUGCAAGUCGAGCGAACAGACGAGGAGCUUGCUCCUCUGACGUUAGCGGCGGACGGGUGAGUAACACGUGGAUAACCUACCUAUAAGACUGGGAUAACUUCGGGAAACCGGAGCUAAUACCGGAUAACAUGUUGAACCGCAUGGUUCAACAGUGAAAGACGGUCUUGCUGUCACUUAUAGAUGGAUCCGCGCCGCAUUAGCUAGUUGGUAAGGUAACGGCUUACCAAGGCAACGAUGCGUAGCCGACCUGAGAGGGGGAUCGGCCACACUGGAACUGAGACACGGUCCAGACGCCUACGGGAGGCAGCAGUAGGGAAUCGGCCGCAAUGGGCGAAAGCCUGACGGAGCAACGCCGCGUGAGUGAAGAAGGUCUUCGGAUCGUAAAACUCUGUUACUAGGGAAGAACAAAUGUGUAAGUAACUAUGCACGUCUUGACGGUACCGAAUCAGAAAGCCACGGCUAACUACGUG